rnacentral:rRNA from 1 species
GACGAACGCUGGCGGCGUGCCUAAUACAUGCAAGUUGAGCGCUGAAGGUUGGUACUUGUACCAACUGGAUGAGCAGCGAACGGGUGAGUAACGCGUGGGGAAUCUGCCUUUGAGCGGGGGACAACAUUUGGAAACGAAUGCUAAUACCGCAUAAAAACUUUAAACACAAGUUUUAAGUUCGAAAGAUGCAAUUGCAUCACUCAAAGAUGAUCCCGCGUUGUAUUAGCUAGUUGGUGAGGUAAAGGCUCACCAAGGCGAGGAUACAUAGCCGACCUGAGAGGGUGGUCGGCCAAAUUGGGACUGAGACACGGCCCAAACUCCUACGGGAGGCAGCAGUAGGGAAUCGUCGGCAAUGGACGAAAGUCUGACCGAGCAACGCCGCGUGAGUGAAGAAGGUUUUCGGAUCGUAAAACUCUGUUGGUAGAGAAGAACGUUGGUGAGAGUGGAAAGCUCAUCAAGUGACGGUAACUACCCAGAAAGGGACGGCUAACUACGUG